GUGGGGAAUAUUGCACAAUGGGCGAAAGCCUGAUGCAGCAACGUCGCGUGAGGGACGACGGCCUUCGGGUUGUAAACCUCUUUUAGUAGGGAAGAAGCGAAAGUGACGGUACCUGCAGAAAAAGCACCGGCUAACUACGUGCCAGCAGCCGCGGUAAUACGUAGGGUGCAAGCGUUAUCCGGAAUUAUUGGGCGUAAAGAGCUCGUAGGCGGUCUGUCGCGUCUGCUGUGAAAACUGGAGGCUCAACCUCCAGCCUGCAGUGGGUACGGGCAGACUAGAGUGCGGUAGGGGAGAUUGGAAUUCCUGGUGUAGCGGUGGAAUGCGCAGAUAUCAGGAGGAACACCGAUGGCGAAGGCAGAUCUCUGGGCCGUAACUGACGCUGAGGAGCGAAAGCGUGGGGAGCGAACAGGAUUAGAUACCCCAGUAGUCC
rnacentral:rRNA from 1 species